UCAAUAGUUACUGUAGUCCACACAACUGUACCAUCAACUGCACUACCAGAGUCCAUGUUAGGACCCCAUCCAGUAGAGGCUGAUAAACCACCUUGAGUACAUCUAUAAAUCCUAGUACCAUUGUGUACCAUGUCACCUAUCUUAUACUCCUUACUCUUCUGCCACACAUAAGAAAGACCUAAGAAUUGUAACAUCAGGGUACCAUCUGUCCCUGUACCAGUAGUAAACUGUGG
rnacentral:rRNA from 1 species